rnacentral:rRNA from 1 species
UACGAAGGGGGGCUAGCGUUGUUCGGAAUUACUGGGCGUAAAGCGCGCGUAGGCGGACCUGCAAGUCGGGGGUGAAAGCCCGAGGCUCAACCCCGGAACUGCCUUUGAUACUGGGAAUCUCGAGUCCGGGAGAGGUGAGUGGAACUGCGAGUGUAGAGGUGAAAUUCGUAGAUAUUCGCAAGAACACCAGUGGCGAAGGCGGCUCACUGGCCCGGUACUGACGCUGAGGUGCGAAAGCGUGGGGAGCAAACAGG